CUGGAAUGGAAUUUCCCUGUGACAGCCUGCAAGGCUCCCAAGGGCGCUCCUGGCAGAAAUCCAGACACGACUGAGAUGGACCUGCUGCGUCCGGCUCGUGUGGCUUUCCACAAACAUCUAAAACAUCGCUUUGCUUCACCUGCUUUCAACUUUUCCUCUGAGACUUGUCACAGUUCUAGUCACAGCUCAUCACUGAACUACUCUGGGGUUCUAGCAAGAGGGGUGGACUCAGAAUGGGAGGAGAACAGAUGCUUUCAACCUCUGCUGCUAUGA
rnacentral:lncRNA from 1 species